rnacentral:rRNA from 1 species
AGGACGAACGCUGGCGGCGUGCUUAACACAUGCAAGUCGAGCGGAAAGGCCCUUCGGGGUACUCGAGCGGCGAACGGGUGAGUAACACGUGAGCAAUCUGCCCUUAGCUUCGGGAUAGCCCCGGGAAACCGGGAUUAAUACCGAAUAUGACCUCGGCCGACAUCGGCCUUGGUGGAAAGUUUUUCGGCUAGGGAUGAACUCGCGGCCUAUCAGCUUGUUGGUGGGGUAAUGGCCUACCAAGGCGACGACGGGUAGCCGGCCUGAGAGGGCGACCGGCCACACUGGGACUGAGACACGGCCCAGACUCCUACGGGAGGCAGCAGUGGGGAAUAUUGCGCAAUGGGCGAAAGCCUGACGCAGCGACGCCGCGUGGGGGAUGAAGGCCUUCGGGUUGUAAACCCCUUUCAGCAGGGACGAAGCGAAGUGACGGUACCUGCAGAAGAAGCGCCGGCUAACUACGCGCCAGCAGCCGC